CCGUGAACCCUCUUCCCCACCGCCCGCUCAAUCUCUCAGCUUCCCCUCUCCCACCGCAGCCUCCACUCCAAAACCCUCCUCCGCUCCAAACGUCCCCACCUCUUCGCGGUGUGCCGAUCUCCCCCCCCCCCGGCACCCCCGCGAUCUCCUCGGCGUGCCCCUCUCCGCAGCGUGCCCCCCGAUCUCCUCGGCGUGCCCCUCCCCGCGGUGUGCCCCCCGAAUCUCCCCGACGUGCCCCAGCCCGGUGGCGGUUUUGCCCCCCCUCCCCUGAUCUCCUCUCUGUCGGACUCCUCCAUCGCCGGUCAGUUUUUGGACUAUCCAUUCCAUGUUUAAAAUGUAGUGGCAUGUCUACAUAGCCUUUCAGGAUGCCUUAUGCUGCAGCAUAUCUCAGUUAUUGCUUUUGGUGCCACGAAUCUCCCAUCCAAUAGUUUCAGGAUAGCUCCAAAGAGGAGACAUUGUAUAUCCAUGUUGGAUAGAUUACAGGCUUAUUCAUCAUUUCAGUCCAAUCACGAUGAGUCACAGCAACAAUCACUUUCAGCAUAUAAUACUCAGUUACAUAGACAGCGAUUAGAGACCGCAUUAUCUCAGCUACAAUCAUCAGAUGUUGUAGGAGGAGAUGAAACGACGACUUGAGGAGAUACCUGAGGACGAGUGCACACCAGUACUAAAAGAUCGUAUCUUUGUGGAGGUGAUGGGAGAAGAUGGACAUGGACGGAUGCAUACUUGGAGUUCGAGCAUGACAAAAUGACGUUUGCAUCAGUAAUUUUAUCAGACACCAUCAGAGGAGACCAUUAGGAGGAUUCGGGAUGAGCUUCGGACUGAGUUUGAUGACAAGAUUUUUUACUUGGAGGCACAGCUUCAUCGAAUGCGUGCUCAGAUGGCGAGUAGAUCUUUUGCACAUAGCCCAGUAGAUACUCCUUAUUCGGUGCCAUUCAGUAGUAGGCAGGUUCCAGAUGCAUCUAGUGCUCACCAAACACAUGCAUCGGAAAAUGAGAGAUUCACUCAGGGAUGACUCUUUCACCACUUCGGAAUUCAAUGCAAACUCAUGUGUUUUUUGCGGUCAAGUAUGUCAUAUAUUUUGCUGUCAUUUUCUUUUCUUUUUUGUUUUGCUUUUUUUUUUCUAAUUUUACUUGUCGAGAUCAUUACAGUUCUUUGAAAUGGACAUAAUUCUCUUUCCUUUUAGUGUGACAGGCUGUAUCGUUUUAGUUGUUUAGAGGAUCCUGGAUCCUGUGAAAUAAAGCUCUCCCAGGCUCGAACCGACACCAUGGCACUUAUCUGGCCAAACCUUUCAUCAUUGCACCAAACUAUAUAUACAAAAGAGUACAUAUAUCAAAGCAUGCAUCAUGCAUAUGUGGGUUUAGUCACAUGCAUAUCGCAUGCAUGAUAUGCACAUGGGAUUUGAAUUGCUAUAUCUCGUGUUAUGCUUCGAGGUGAAUUUCACAUUGAUUUGAUUAUUCGCAAGGUAUAGAAAGAAUGCUUUCUUAAUUAUGGAAACUUGUCUUGCUUAGGAUUAGACUAUGGUGCUGUCAUGAUGUAUGUUCCUUUUAUGAAACCUUGAAUAAAUAAGGUAUAUAAGCUUGUAACUUCCAAAUGGUAGGAAUCAUGAACCUAGAUUCAAGAAUGUAUUCCCUUAGUUUUAAUAUGAUUCCCAGGCAUCAGAACAUGUGUUGUUUCAGAAGCAUAGAAUCAUUUUUCGAGGUGAAUGUGGUAGGAUAUUUGCAUGGUUCAUGUGAUUAAAUUAAAGACCUUGUGCUUAUGAGCAUAAUGAUGAUUUGCUGAGAGACAGCAUUCAUAGUAUUGGUCCAUUAAACAUGUAGGUUGGGUUAUUGCCUCACUGUUGAAUCAAUACUUGCAAGUGAUUUCAGAGGUCUUUAGCUCAUCACAGUUCAGAAUAUCUUAGGCUGCAGAAUUGAUUUUCCUUUCAAGUUUUUGAAACUUUUUUUGGUUUCAGAGCUACUGACUUUGGUGUCGGCAGGGGGUACAAGA